AUCCUAGAACAUCGACUAUACCGUCCCAUAACAGUGUUAACAAAAAAUGGAGAAAAUAUUAUGUCUGCUGAUAUCAAUUUUUGUCGUCUUCAUCAUGCCAUUGGAUAUUUCUGGUCAAUGUAACACCCAUCGCUCUCCCUGUGAACUAACCUGCCGCUGUAACACGUCCGAGAAGAAUUGUCUGCCUGAGCAUGUGAUGGGGUGUGGGGAUCUGGGAUGUCAGCCGGGGUGGAGCGGUCCCACGUGUCAGAGGGAAAACAUUGCUUUUUUGCAAUGGAAUGUGGAUUCCAGCAGCGAAUUUCACAUAGACAACAUAGACUCCAUGGCUUUUGACGGGAACUUGUCCACGGUAUUUCGUUCUCGGGAAGAAGCAAACCCGUAUCUAACAGUGUGGAUCAAAAGGUGGAACUUUCGUACUACUAUCUAUUCCAUGAGGAUAUAUA